ACCAAAUCAGUAUCUUGGUCUUUUCAAUGCAACUAACAACGGAAUAAGUUCAAAUCAUGUUAUUGCAGUAGAGCUUGACACAGACCAAGAUUUCCAGUUUGAUGACAUAGAUGAUAACCAUUUGGGGAUUGAUAUUAAUGGCUUGGUCUCCGUGAAAUCUCUUCCUGCUGGGUACCAUAGUGAUGAUUGGCAUUUCAAAGAGCUAGUUCUCAAAAGUGGAAAACCACUGCAGGUCUGGGUUGAAUAUGAGAGC
rnacentral:misc_RNA from 1 species